rnacentral:rRNA from 1 species
AUCAUGGCUCAGGAUGAACGCUGGCGGCGUGCCUAACACAUGCAAGUCGAGCGAUUCUCUUCGGAGAAGAGCGGCGGACGGGUGAGUAACGCGUGGGUAACCUGCCCUGUACACACGGAUAACAUACCGAAAGGUAUGCUAAUACGGGAUAAUAUGUUUUUGAUCGCAUGGUCGAAAUAUCAAAGCUCCGGCGGUACAGGAUGGACCCGCGUCUGAUUAGCUAGUUGGUGAGGUAAUGGCUCACCAAGGCGACGAUCAGUAGCCGACCUGAGAGGGUGAUCGGCCACAUUGGAACUGAGACACGGUCCAAACUCCUACGGGAGGCAGCAGUGGGGAAUAUUGCACAAUGGGCGAAAGCCUGAUGCAAGCAACGCCGCGUGAGCGAUGAAGGCCUUCGGGUCGUAAAGCUCUGUCCUCAAGGAAGAUAAUGACGGUACUUGAGGAGGAAGCCCCGGCUAACUACGUGCCAGCCGCUGC